AAUCAACGCUGGCGGCGUGCCUAACACAUGCAAGUCGAACGCGAAAGCCCUUUCGGGGGUAAGUAGAGUGGCGUCCGGGUGAGUAACACGUAGGUAAUCUACCUUCGGGUGGGGAUAACGUCUCGAAAGAGACGCUAAUACCGCAUAAUGCAGCGGCACCUAAUGGUGAUUAGUUGUUAAAGCGGGGGAUCGUAAGACCUCGCGCCUGAAGAGGAG
rnacentral:rRNA from 1 species